AUUGAACGCUGGCGGCAGGCCUAACACAUGCAAGUCGAGCGGCAGCGGGAAAGUAGCUUGCUACUUUUGCCGGCGAGCGGCGGACGGGUGAGUAAUGCCUGGGGAUCUGCCCAGUCGAGGGGGAUAACUACUGGAAACGGUAGCUAAUACCGCAUACGCCCUACGGGGGAAAGCAGGGGACCUUCGGGCCUUGCGCGAUUGGAUGAACCCAGGUGGGAUUAGCUAGUUGGGGAGGUAAUGGCUCACCAAGGCGACGAUCCCUAGCUGGUCUGAGAGGAUGAUCAGCCACACUGGAACUGAGACACGGUCCAGACUCCUACGGGAGGCAGCAGUGGGGAAUAUUGCACAAUGGGGGAAACCCUGAUGCAGCCAUGCCGCGUGUGUGAAGAAGGCCUUCGGGUUGUAAAGCACUUUCAGCGAGGAGGAAAGGUUGGUGGCUAAUAACUGCCAGCUGUGACGUUACUCGCAGAAGAAGCACCGGCUAACUCCGUGCCAGCCGCCGCGGUAA
rnacentral:rRNA from 1 species